CAGGAUUAGAUACCCUGGUAGUCCACGCCGUAAACGAUGUUCACUCGCUGUCUGCGAUAUACAGUAGGCGGCUUAGCGAAAGCAUUAAGUGAACCACCUGGGGAGUACGAUCGCAAGGUUGAAACUCAAAGGAAUUGACGGGGGCCCGCACAAGCGGAGGAACAUGUGGUUUAAUUCGAUGAUACGCGAGGAACCUUACCUGGGCUUAAAUGUAGAUUGCAUAUCUUAGAAAUAGGUUUUCCCUUCGGGGCUAUUUACAAGGUGCUGCAUGGUUGUCGUCAGCUCGUGCCGUGAGGUGUCGGGUUAAGUCCCAUAACGAGCGCAACCCCUAUCGUUAGUUGCCAGCGGAUAAUGCCGGGGACUCUAGCGAGACUGCCACCGUAAGGUGAGAGGAAGGUGGGGAUGACGUCAAAUCAGCACGGCCCUUAUGUCCAGGGCUACACACGUGUUACAAUGGCCGAUACAAAGGGCAGCUACCAGGCAACUGGAUGCUAAUCUCUAAAGUCGGUCCCAGUUCGGAUUGGAGUCUGCAACCCGACUCCAUGAAGUUGGAUUCGCUAGUAAUCGGAUAUCAGCAAUGAUCCGGUGAAUACGUUCCCGGGCCUUGUACACACCGCCCGUCAAACCAUGGAAGCUGGGGGUACCUGAAGUCUGUGACCGCAAGGAGCGGCCUAGGGUAAAACUAGUAACUAGGGUUAAGUCGUAACAAGGUA
rnacentral:rRNA from 1 species